AACUGAAGAGUUUGAUCAUGGCUCAGAUUGAACGCUGGCGGCAGGCUUAACACAUGCAAGUCGAGCGGGGGAAGGUAGCUUGCUACUGGACCUAGCGGCGGACGGGUGAGUAAUGCUUAGGAAUCUGCCUAUUAGUGGGGGACAACAUCUCGAAAGGGAUGCUAAUACCGCAUACGUCCUACGGGAGAAAGCAGGGGAUCUUCGGACCUUGCGCUAAUAGAUGAGCCU
rnacentral:rRNA from 2 species